UUUUCCUCUCACGAUACGAGCUAGACGGCCACAGAGCAGACGCCAUCUUCUCUCACGACACGAGCCAGACAGCAGCAGAGCAGACCAGACCGAGAGAGUCGGUAGCUAAAGCCGAGCAAACACGACAGACACACAGAGUAGCAGAGCCGCGGAUAACGGCAGAGACGUCCGCAGGCAGACCCGGUAUUCACGCUGUGAGCCGAGGAGAAAACCCCUUUGUGGUAUUAAAAUGCAUGAACUCCGGUGAGUCAGCAGACAGUUAGCUUCCAGUUCGGUAGCCGUUCAGACGGAAAAAUAAAACGCAUUUAUUGUUCUAUUUACUUGUGUUAUUGUGGUCUAUGUUGCUUUAAAUAUGCCAUAUGAUGCCUUUCGAUGUUUUCCUGUUGUUUGUAAGCCUUUUUUACCGUAGUUUAUGGCUUGUAAAAAGAUCGCUAGCUUGAAAUGCUAACGCUAUUAGCGACCGCGACAUGCUAAUCGCUAAGUCGGGAUGCUAUUUUGUCCCUUGUUUUAUGUUUAGUCAUGCAGUCGCUAUGCUAACCGCUAAGCUAAUGUUAAGUUUCCAUGCAGUUGCAUUGAGAAGGUGCAGUUUGAUCAUUUUUAUGCCAAUUGAACUGCUUAUUUGUGUUAUUAGUCACUGUUUUUGGUGAUAUAUUUUGGAUGUUGAACUGAGAAACUGAUGAGAUCUCAUGAGAAAUAGACAGAAUCAGAUUAGGUUCUUAUCCCUAUGCACUUUCUGUGUAGGUUGGUUUUUUUUCUUUGCUAGUCUGAACUGAGAAAGAGAUGAUCAGGAUGGCGAGCCCAGCCCAGCGAGUCUGAGAUAGAGAGAGAGGGUGAAGCAGUGUGGCCAGCUGCAGAAUCCACCUACCUCGACAACUCUGGAUCUUCCGAAUCCCGCACUUUGAGAGCAGAUAAGACACAUACACACACUUUGCACCUACCCGGGUAGCAACAGUAAAAAGACACUGAAGACACAGAAAUUCAAUUGACAUUGAUACACAGAACACACACCUCGGAUCCCCUCAACGGAAAACCCCAGAAUUCUGAGCAGGAGAGCUCAGUGUCCCAUUUAAGUUUUUAUUUUUUUUCUUCUCUGGCGCCUUGUUAUUUUGAACAGUGAAAUACCAGGU